rnacentral:rRNA from 1 species
AACGAACGCUGGCGGCGCGCCUAAUACAUGCAAGUCGAGCGAGAAGACGUAGCAAUACGUUUGUAAAGCGGCGAACGGGUGAGGAAUACAUGGGUAACCUACCCUCGAGUGGGGAAUAACUAGCCGAAAGGUUAGCUAAUACCGCGUACGCUUCUUGGACUUCGGUUCAGGGAGGAAAGCGAUACCGUGGGUAUCGCGCUCUUGGAUGGGCUCAUGUCCUAUCAGCUUGUUGGNGAGGUAACGGCUCACCAAGGCUUCGACGGGUAGCUGGUCUGAGAGGACGAUCAGCCACACUGGCACUGCGACACGGGCCAGACUCCUACGGGAGGCAGCAGUAAGGAAUAUUGCGCAAUGGGCGAAAGCCUGACGCAGCGACGCCGCGUGGGGGAUGAAGGUCUUCGGAUUGU